UACAGAGGCUGCAAGCGUUAUUCGGAUUCACUGGGCGUAAAGGGUGCGCAGGCGGCCGUGUGUGUGAGGCGUGAAAGCCCGGGGCUUAACCCCGGAAUUGCACCUCAAACUACACGGCUAGAGCAUUGGAGAGGGUAGCAGAAUUCACGGUGUAGCAGUGAAAUGCGUAGAUAUCGUGAGGAAUACCAGAGGCGAAGGCGGCUUCCUGGAGAAUUGCUGACGCUCAGGCACGAAAGCGUGGGGAGCAAAAGGG
rnacentral:rRNA from 1 species